GGGAAAUCUGGAGGGGAGAUACAUGGGAAUACUUUACUUUUGCAGGUGAAACACACCUCUUGCUGCAGGAGCUGGAACAGUAGUAUAGGGUUAUGGAAGGGGCCAAGUUCUGAGCCUUGCAGAACACCUACUGAAGAACACUGAGAAGCAGAGAGGGAGCUACGGUGAUCCACCUGCUAAAAUCAACCUGACAGGUCACAUUCAGACCACACUAGAGAUGACCCUUUGAUUCCAGCUGUUCUGGAAAGGACACGAGGAUCCGAAAGUCUCGGGACCUUCCGGCUCUUGUUUUGGCUAGUUGGCUCCAGCUCGUCUUUCAUCUGUCUUUUUUUUCAGCUUGACAAGCACAUCAGGCACUUUGGUGGUGGAGCAAUAUCCCACUGGACUACAUUCCUCCCACUGGGUGGACCUUCAGAUGAGCUGUGGUUACUAUUCCAUAGGAAUGGGUCCUUGUGAAGGCAGGGCAUGAUACGGACAUCCUGGAGGUGUACACAAACCGGGGUAUAAAGGUAGGGGAGCAGGAGCUCAAGGCAGUUUGCUGACUCCACUGAGACACCAUCAUGCUGACAGUCAUUUUCUUUGCUCUGCUCCUCGCUGGGAUAGACGACGGGAUAGCUGAAGAAGGAUCGGGGGAAAUCGUCAUUGAUCCCCCAGAGAUGGGGAAGACCACCUACUCCACAAAUCCUCCAGAGACUCCUCCUCCAACAUACAAGAUCAUCUAUGACACCUUCGAAGACCUGUAUGGAGAUGGCACCGGUGAAACCGUCGCCCCCACCCAGUAGCUCCUCCUCGCACUCCACACAGCAGGAGAAGAGGACACAGCCCCUGCUAGACUGAGAGACAACACCCUGGCCACUUCCCGCACUGUUACCCUGCUGGACCCCUUCCGCCUUGCUUCCCUUACAAUAAAAUCUGCAUGAGCUCAACCCCGCUGCA
rnacentral:lncRNA from 1 species